GGGUGAUUCCGGCUUCCGACAAGAAAGAGGUUGAUCAAUUAUUCGAGAAUGAAUUGGUCGCCAAAUCUUUCCAUGCCUUGGGUCAGGUAAUUUGUGAAAAUCUUGGCGUUGUUUCUUUUGACAAAUACUGAGAUGUUAUUUUGGCAGGUGGUCGUGUUCGCCUCUUCUCUUGCCCUCUGUAGCCAGGAGCAUCUCCACGACAUAGACUUCCAUAUGGC
rnacentral:lncRNA from 1 species